CCUCAGGAUGCUCCUGGGAUGGGACGCCAGGUUGCCCCUGCCUGUCCUCUGGAGCUGGUCCUGGAAAUGAAGCCUCUCCACACUCCUGUUGAUGGGUGUGUGUUUGCCACCCAGCUGGCAAACACCCACAUCGCUUUAUCUCUCGCUGCCAUCUCACUGCCCUCAGUUCUCUGCACCUUGCUCAAAAUUCUUUCCACUUUUCUCUUUCCCUUCCUGUGUUUUCAUGCUGGUACCAUCUGGGUCCGGUCUUUAUACUCUUUGCCUUUCUUAAACACCUAUAGCUCUGAUGCAUUAAUGUCUAUACAAAAUUCUGACCUACUUAAUUGAGGAUUUGCUAUGUGUCAGGUGUUGGGUACAAGCUCUCAGAUAACGAUUAAUGGCAGUAUUUUUUUUUUUAGGGUUUUGCAGCUAUUUAUUAGUUAAGAAGGAGUUUGCAGUGGGUUAAGGAUCUGGCGUUGCUUCAACUGUGGUGUAGUUCACAGCUGUGGCUUGGAUUCGAUCCCUGGCCCGGGAACUUCUGUGUGCCAAAAAGAAUGAGUUCGUCUAAAGAAAUGUAUUGACACAAGUCAUAUGGGUACACACAAACCUAUCUUAUUCCUUUAAUAGAGAUUUAUUUCUACCAAAUGGGCUAAUUUUGGUUCUCCUUGAUGAUUGAACACCCGCUGAAGACAGGGACCUCUCACCUUUCUAACACCCUGCUGAUGCAUUGCCCUAACUUCCCCCCAAAUCCUACAGGGUAGAUACUACCUCCUUUCAUAGACGAUUGCCAAAGGCAUGAAGCCGUUAAAGGAUCCAGGUCUCCGUCUGGGGCCCUGCAGCCCAUGACUGUGGCCACCACCAACUUUGGGGUCCAUGGACUCAAUUCAGGUCAGCCAGAGAAGCCAACCAGGGCCCAAGACACGAGUGGGUUUCCCAGGUUUUGUGGCAAAUGUUCAGUGUAGCUCAAGCCCAGGCCGCUGGACUCCUGCUCUGGUGCAUUUGAUGACAAACCAAUGCAUUUCAUGUGCCCGCCUUGGGCGUGCAGGGCACCCAACCACACAGCAUAGGGUCCCCCACAAUAUGUCUGCUGCAGCUGAGGCCCCAGCCCGAUUAUUUUCAUCCUUUCUCUUUAAAGUGUGACAAAUAAUGACCUCUCCUUUCAACCCGAUGAUAAGAUCCCUGAAUCCAUUAUUUUUAAUGACAGCCACGGGGAGGCAAGGCCGCGCCGAUGAGUCGAGAACCCUUGCUCUUCCGGCUUUGCUUUCUUCAGGUUCCCCCCGGACGAAGAAGGCCCUGGAAGCCUGGAGUCUUCCUCAGGCCCGUCUCGAAGUCCUGGGGACUCACCGAGGGUGGUGACACGGACCUGCCUCCUGGACCUCGCUCCUCUCCUUCAGGCGCUGCUUGACCAGAGAAGAUUUAGCGGCGGUCGCUUCUUUAGGGGCUUGCGAUGGUCUGGCGGCACCUGUUCAGAGGCUCGUGGAGGCUGAGCUCAGAGACCAUUGGUGCCCUAUUUUAUUCUUCUCGAAUCUUCAUCAGCAAGGAAGCACCCCAGGCUUCACACAAGCGCAGAUCUUGCCUAACGUGCAUGUUCAGUGGGUGAAGAUGAGCUUUGCUCUAGAAGAAACUCAAGAUCCUGGAGUUCCCGUUGUGGCGCAGUGGUUAACGAAUCCGACUAGGAACCAUGAGGUUGCGGGUUCGAUCCCUGCCCAAUGCUCAGUGGGUUAACGAUCCGGCGUUGCCGUGAGCUGUGGUGUAGGUUGCAGACGCGGCUCGGAUCCUGCGUUGCUGUGGCUCUGGCGUAGGCCGGUGGCUAUAGCUCCGAUUCAACCCCUCACCUGGGAACCUCCAUAUGCCGCGGGAGCGGCCCAAGAAAUAGCAACAACAACAACAAAAAAGACAAAAGACAAAAAAAAAAAAAAAAAAAAAAAAAAA
rnacentral:lncRNA from 1 species